rnacentral:rRNA from 1 species
GAUGAACGCUAGCGGCGGGCUUAAUACAUGCAAGUCAAGGGGUAGCAAUACACCGGCGUACGGGUGCGUAACGCGUAUGGAACCUGCCCUUAUCUGGGGGAUAACUCGGGGAAACUCGAGCUAAUACCGCAUAAGAUAGUAAAGAGGCAUCUCUUAGCUAUUAAAGAUUUAUCGGAUAAGGAUGGCCAUGCGUAAGAUUAGAUAGUUGGCGAGGUAACGGCUCACCAAGUCUACGAUCUUUAGGGGCUCUGAGAGGAGAAUCCCCCACACUGGCACUGAGAUACGGGCCAGACUCCUACGGGAGGCAGCAGUAGGGAAUAUUGGGCAAUGGGCGGAAGCCUGACCCAGCCACGCCGCGUGCAGGAAGACGGCCCUUCUGGGUUGUAAACUAGCUUUUAACUUAGGGGAAGGAAAAGACAGCUCCAUGCGUGAGAAUUU